AUUGAACGCUGGCGGCAGGCCUAACACAUGCAAGUCGAGCGUGAAAGCACUUCGGUGUGAGUAGAGCGGCGGACGGGUGAGUAACGCGUAGGAAUCUACCUAGUAGUGGGGGACAACUCGAGGAAACUCGAGCUAAUACCGCAUACGCCCUAAGGGGGAAAGCGGGGGAUCUUCGGACCUCGCGCUAUUGGAUGAGCCUGCGUCGGAUUAGCUAGUUGGUGGGGUAAAGGCCCACCAAGGCGACGAUCCGUAGCUGGUCUGAGAGGAUGAUCAGCCACACUGGGACUGAGACACGGCCCAGACUCCUACGGGAGGCAGCAGUGGGGAAUAUUGCGCAAUGGGGGAAACCCUGACGCAGCCAUGCCGCGUGUGUGAAGAAGGCCUUAGGGUUGUAAAGCACUUUCAAUGGGGAGAAAAGUCUUACGGUUAAUAACUGUGAGAGUUGAUGUUACCUAUAGAAGAAGCACCGGCUAACUCCGUGCCAGAAGG
rnacentral:rRNA from 1 species